rnacentral:rRNA from 1 species
AGCGAACGCUGGCGGCAGGCUUAACACAUGCAAGUCGAGCGGGCGUAGCAAUACGUCAGCGGCAGACGGGUGAGUAACGCGUGGGAACGUACCUUUUGGUUCGGAACAACACAGGGAAACUUGUGCUAAUACCGGAUAAGCCCUUACGGGGAAAGAUUUAUCGCCGAAAGAUCGGCCCGCGUCUGAUUAGCUAGUUGGUAGGGUAAUGGCCUACCAAGGCGACGAUCAGUAGCUGGUCUGAGAGAAUGAUCAGCCACAUUGGGACUGAGACACGGCCCAAACUCCUACGGGAGGCAGCAGUGGGGAAUAUUGGACAAUGGGGGCAACCCUGAUCCAGCCAUGCCGCGUGAGUGAUGAAGGCCCUAGGGUUGUAAAGCUCUUUUGUGCGGGAAGAUAAUGACGGUACCGCAAGAAUAAGCCCCGGCUAACUUCGUGCCAGCAGCCGCGGUAAU